rnacentral:misc_RNA from 1 species
GUACAGCAAAAUCCCUGCAUCUGCUAAAGCUAGACUAGCACAUGAUAUGACCACGGGGAGAUCACUUCCACCAGAUUCCAAUACCAAAGCAAAAACAUCCACACAAGUCUUUGGGAAGGAUUCCAGAAUUAUAACACCCUCUAAAGCUUUGUGUAACAUUGAGGAAAGUUCCUUGUUGUCUGAUCCCUGCCCACGAUUAGGGGUGGCAAAACUUGUGUAACUAACAUUACAAUUUAAGCGUCCUGUAUCACUGUACAUCAUUGCCUUUUUACUUUCCCUUGGUCCGAACACAGAUACGAUUACCUUGGUGUUCCCAAACUCUGCAUAUGCUGAUCCUGCAGCUGUACUCACAGCACCAGUCUUCAGAUAAGCAGGACGGCACUGAUAGAAGCCACGAUUAUCAGGACGAACCCAAUCAGCAUCAGCAAUGGGGAUUCUCUUCUUCUUGCGUGUUGCUGGAGACGGUGAAUAUGUCGUCGGCGUCGACCCUGAUUUUCCAGCCAU